CACUGUCGUAAACAGCAGUGAUAAUAUGCAUGCCUCUGUUUUUCUUCUACUUCAGCCAAUUUCGUACACAUACGAUGCAUUGCAAAGAAAGGAGAAUAUGAAUUUCACUUCAGGAUGCAGCUUCCUUGGUCCCUGUUUUUUGCACAUGAUCAGUUGAUCUUCUUUGAUGUAUCUUGGGGUGGCCGUCCUGGCAGCAGCUACCAGACAAGCCCUCAGAGACCCGGCUUCCUCAGAUGACCUUGGACUUCCAGCAUUUCAUCUCCUCUCCUGUCUUCCACCCCAGGUGAAGACAAGUUCCCAGGGUGCAAUGAAUCUUAAGGCUGUUCCCUGGUUUGAAGAAAAUCUCCGCGUGACUGCUUUCCAUCACCUUUGUGAGAGGCCUCCAUGGGCUUGUGUGGAGACAGCGGCAUUUUGAUUAAUACAGACCAAGUAACAGAGUUGUGGCUGGUGGUACUGUGGAGCGCUUCUAGAAGAUUUACGUGUAGCACCUGCUUCACUUGCUUCUGAGAAAGUCUUUGUUGCUAGAUGUCCACUCUCUCCCCCUGGAGCCGGCCAGAAUGGUGACAACCAGAGAGCCUGGGAAACCUCAUGCUGAAGUCCGUGGAGCUGCUGUCAGGCUGGCUCUGCCACUACCUGCAACUCUUUAGUUUAGCAGCCUAGUGUAAUGAGGUCAUAUGACAUUUUCUGUUUUCUUCCAAAAGUUUUCAAGUUUUCCUUUUCACAUCUAGAUUUUAAAUCUGCUUGGCCUUGGCUGUUAUGAUGGCCAUAAAUUAUAGAGUCUUUUUUCAAAUGAAUAAACAACUAUCCUGUUACCCA
rnacentral:lncRNA from 1 species